UGGGGAAUAUUGGACAAUGGGGGCAACCCUGAUCCAGCAAUGCCGCGUGGGUGAAGAAGGUCUUCGGAUUGUAAAGCCCUUUCGGCGGGGACGAUGAUGACGGUACCCGCAGAAGAAGGCCCGGCUAACUUCGUGCCAGCAGCCGCGGUAAUACGAAGGGGGCUAGCGUUGCUCGGAAUGACUGGGCGUAAAGGGCGCGUAGGCGGUUGUGACAGUCAGGCGUGAAAUUCCCGGGCUUAACCUGGGGCUGCGCUUGAUACGUCAUGACUUGAGUGUGGAAGAGGGUCGUGGAAUUCCCAGUGUAGAGGUGAAAUUCGUAGAUAUUGGGAAGAGCACCGGUGGCGAAGGCGGCGACCUGGUCAUUACUGACGCUGAGGCGCGAAAGGCGUGGGGAAGCAAGCGGGAUUAAGAUGAUCCUCGGGUAGUCCACGCUGUAAACGAUGUGCGCUGGAUGCUGGGUGGCCUAGCCACUCAGUGUCGUAGCUAACGCGGUAAGCGCACCGCCUGGGGAGUACGGCCGCAAGGUUGAAACUCAAAUGAAUUGACGGGGUCAUAGCUGUUUCCU
rnacentral:rRNA from 1 species